rnacentral:rRNA from 1 species
CCUACGGUGGGCAGCAGUGGGGAAUAUUGGACAAUGGGCGAAAGCCUGAUCCAGCCAUGCCGCGUGUGUGAAGAAGGCCUUCGGGUUGUAAAGCACUUUCAGUGGGGAAGAAAGCCUUGGGGCUAAUACCCUCGAGGAAGGACAUCACCCACAGAAGAAGCACCGGCUAACUCCGUGCCAGCAGCCGCGGUAAUACGGCGGGUGCGAGCGUUAAUCGGAAUUACUGGGCGUAAAGCGCGCGUAGGCGGUCUGAUAAGCCGGUUGUGAAAGCCCCGGGCUCAACCUGGGAACGGCAUCCGGAACUGUCAGGCUAGAGUGCAGGAGAGGAAGGUAGAAUUCCCGGUGUAGCGGUGAAAUGCGUAGAGAUCGGGAGGAAUACCAGUGGCGAAGGCGGUCUUCUGGACUGACACUGACGCUGAGGUGCGAAAGCGUGGGUAGCAAACAGGAUUAGAUACCCUAGUAGUC